UAAUCAGCAUCUUGAUGUGCCACACCUGUGAGGUGGAUGGAUUGUCUCAGCAAAGGAGACGUGCUCACCAACACAGAUUUGAGAGAAAUAGGCCUUUUGUGUUCAUAGAAAGUGUUAGAUCUUUGAUUUCAGCUCAUGAGAAAUGGGAGCAAAAGCGUUGCGUUUAUAUUUUUGGUCCGUGUGUGUAUAUAGCUCGGCAUUGCAUUAAGAAAGAAUUGCCUGCAUUCAGGCUGUUGCUUUCCAGCAUUGGACGCUCGACUACGCACCUGAUUGGACGAACACUUUCAGUUGUUUGGAAACUUUUUUCCUUUAUAUUGUGAAACUCAUCACCGAAAUGUGUUUGAAAACAUUUCAGGCGGGAAAUAAGCCAUGCUGCUGAAACUGUCUUUAUUGUACAAUCUACAACUGUUCGUUUCCAGGAGUUUCCAGGGGCUGCAAGUCUCCCCUUUUCAGAACGUGGCCUCGACCUCAACUUUAUGCAACUGAGGAGCGGCCAAUGUGAUGCCCCGUCUCUGGCAUUACACUACCACAAUGCAUUGCACGGCUGCUUACAUAGACAAUGAAUAGGAAGCUCGUGGGACACAUACCAUUACAGCUAAAGUCAUUGUGUUGCUGUGCAUGAAUGCUUUGGAAGUAAAAACAUGUGUGACAGCUGACUUAAAACAAAUAACCGGUUUUUGGCUCAAUAUAGCCUUUGAGAUUUAAUGAUGCCAUUUCAUGGGUGGAGAGACCUCAGUUGCGUAGAUCUCUUUAAAAUGUGCUCCCAUCACCUCCGUGACAGCUCCAUCCCCAGCGCCGAGGUCCAGGAGUCUCUCAGCACUCCAGUCGGGGUCGAUCCGGAGCAGCUGCUGGAACUGCUCCGGAGAAAACACAAACAUAGAGCCACGACCCAGAAACCUGAGACGGAGAGCUCAUCAGAGGAAGGGACACGACAGGUGAAAUGGAGAAAGAGAUGCGUCUGUUCUACUCACCCGUUAAUGGAGGUGCGUGAGACCAGUGGGCUGAGGAAUGUUGAUACAAAAGAGUGGUAAAGCUGGGUGAACAGCAAGCCAGACUUAUCCACACUCCGCUUGAGAAAAGCCUUGGUGCCAGAGUCCAGGUGGCUCUGCACAAACAGGGGUCGCACAGAUUCUCCGAGCAGGUCAGGACCGCACCGGUACCACUACGGCCGCAGGGGCAAAGAAAAAGAAAAGAACGAUUCACAUCGAGCACAGAGAGACAAGUGAAGCUGCAUUCAGACGUGGAACGACUUCAACAUCUUGUACCUGCAUGGCUUAAAUGUGCCAACUUUAUACACGUUUCUUUAAUUGGAGUUUUUGUGAUUAAAUUAUUUUAGACUAUCUA